CCCGAGUGCUGCCAUCCUGCUCAUGGACAGACACCUGUGGACUGUUAGCUUUCUCUGGAGGAUGCCAUAACUCUGAAAAAGGUAAUGCAGUUAUGUUGUUUUCAGCUUCCUGCUGCCUGCAGAGUUUAGAGACCUUCACUGCUGCAGUUUGAUCAACAACUUUACUGCCUGUUAGUGUUAAUUAUUGAUUAUUAUUCUGAUUAAAACACUUUUAUCGUCUCCA